GACGAACGCUGGCGGCGUGCCUAAUACAUGCAAGUAGAACGCUGAAGAGAGGAGCUUGCUCUUCUUGGAUGAGUUGCGAACGGGCGAGUAACGCGUAGGUAACCUGCCUUGUGGCGGGGGAUAACUAUUGGAAACGAUAGCUAAUACCGCAUAACAAUGGAUGACACAUGUCAUUUAUUUGAAAGGGGCAAUUGCUCCACUACAAGAUGGACCUGCGUUGUAUUAGCUAGUAGGUGAGGUAAUGGCUCACCUAGGCGACGAUACAUAGCCGACCUGAGAGGGUGAUCGGCCACACUGGGACUGAGACACGGCCCAGACUCCUACGGGAGGCAGCAGUAGGGAAUCUUCGGCAAUGGGGGCAACCCUGACCGAGCAACGCCGCGUGAGUGAAGAAGGGUUUCGGAUCGUAAAGCUCUGUUGUAAGUCAAGAACGGGUGUGAGAGUGGAAAGUUCACACUGUGACGGUAGCUUACCAGAAAGGGACGGCUAACUACGUG
rnacentral:rRNA from 1 species